rnacentral:other from 1 species
CAUUUCCUGCAGCGUUCGAUAGCAGACCUGGAUACUUCUUGGGCCUAGCUCGUAACUUUGGGAUCGUAUCACCGGUGUUGUUGUGCAUAACCGAAUUUCGGUGCGCCUGAUGCACCGCAUACGCACCCACUUGAACCAUCGGUUCAAGAACAUGGGCUGCAACGGCGCUUGCGGGUGUGCC